CUCAGCAAAGUUUCCAACUGGGAAGAUGUGGGAGCUCGUAGCUUCCACCCUCUCCACCAUGGAGAGAGCAGCAAUAGCUCUGAUUCUGAUGUGCCUCUGUCUGCUUCUUGGAAGGGGGGAGACCCGCCUCCCACCCCCGCAGGACAAAAAAGGCCACUCUUCUCCUCGUAAUCUUGCCCCAAAUACUGGACCUUGCAAGAUUCAAUGACUGAAUUUCCAUCACUUUCAGCAAAUCUAAUCCAAUCGAUGAAAAACGUAUUCCACCAAGACUAUCUACAGGAUCUGGAAGAAUUGUCUAGAACAAAACAAGUAACCAAAACAACCAGCCUUAAUAGAG